UACAGAGGGGGCGAGCGUUGUCCGGAAUCACUGGGCGUAAAGGAUGCGUAGGCGGACAUUUAAGUCAGAUGUGAAAUACCCGAGCUUAACUUGGGUGCUGCAUUUGAAACUGGGUGUCUAGAGUGCAGGAGAGGUAAGUGGAAUUCCUAGUGUAGCGGUGAAAUGCGUAGAGAUUAGGAAGAACACCAGUGGCGAAGGCGACUUACUGGACUGUAACUGACGCUGAGGCAUGAAAGCGUGGGGAGCAAACAGG
rnacentral:rRNA from 1 species